rnacentral:rRNA from 1 species
AAUAUUGGACAAUGGGGGAAACCCUGAUCCAGCAACGCCGCGUGGGGGACGAAGGCCUUCGGGUUGUAAACCCCUGUCAGAUGGGGCGAAGGGGCUGCAGUGAAUAACUGCAGUCCUUGACGGUACCAUCAGAGGAAGCCCCGGCUAACUCCGUGCCAGCAGCCGCGGUAAUACGGAGGGGGCUAGCGUUGUUCGGAAUUACUGGGCGUAAAGCGUGCGCAGGCGGUUUUGUAAGUCUGUCGUGAAAUCCCCGGGCUCAACCUGGGAAUUGCGAUGGAGACUGCAAGGCUAGAAUCUGGCAGAGGGGGGUAGAAUUCCACGUGUAGCAGUGAAAUGCGUAGAGAUGUGGAGGAACACCGAUGGCGAAGGCAGCCCCCUGGGUCAAGAUUGACGCUCAUGCACGAAAGCGUGGGGAGCAAAC